rnacentral:rRNA from 1 species
UACGUAGGGUGCGAGCGUUAAUCGGAAUUACUGGGCGUAAAGCGUGCGUAGGCGGUUCGUUAAGUUCGUCGUGAAAGCCCCGGGCUCAACCUGGGAAUGGCGAUGGAAACUGGCGGGCUGGAGUAUGGCAGAGGGGGGUGGAAUUCCGCGUGUAGCAGUGAAAUGCGUAGAUAUGCGGAGGAACACCGAUGGCGAAGGCAAUCCCCUGGACCUGUACUGACGCUCAUGCACGAAAGCGUGGGGAGCAAACAGG